rnacentral:rRNA from 1 species
CUGGCGUAGGAGCCGCAGGGGCCUUACCUCUCCCCCAAUUGGGGGAAGCCCGAGGGUUCCCUGGGAAUUUCCCCGGUUUUAGAAAGGGCAAGGGCCCCCUGGCCCGCGCCCGCCGAAGACACCAUUGAACGCUGUCUGAAGAUUGCAGUCUGAGCAAUUAGUUAAAUAACUUAAAACUUUCAACAACGGAUCUCUUGGUUCCGGCAUCGAUGAAGAACGCAGCGAAAUGCGAUACGUAAUGUGAAUUGCAGAAUUCAGUGAAUCAUCGAGUCUUUGAACGCACAUUGCGCCCCCUGGUAUUCCGGGGGGCAUGCCUGUCCGAGCGUCAUUGCUGCCCUCAAGCACGGCUUGUGUGUUGGGCUCCGUCCUCCUUCCGGGGGGACGGGCCCGAAAGGCAGCGGCGGCACCGCGUCCGGUCCUCGAGCGUAUGGGGCUUCGUCACCCGCUCUGCAGGCCCGGCCGGCGCUUGCCGACACAUCAAUCUUUUUUCCAGGUUGACCUCGGAUCAGGUAGGGAUACCCGCUGAACUUAAGCAUAUCAAUAAGCGGAGGAG